rnacentral:rRNA from 1 species
UGGGGAAUUUUGGACAAUGGGGGAAACCCUGAUCCAGCCAUCCCGCGUGUGCGAUGAAGGCCUUCGGGUUGUAAAGCACUUUUGGCAGGAAAGAAACGUCAUGGGUUAAUACCCCGUGAAACUGACGGUACCUGCAGAAUAAGCACCGGCUAACUACGUGCCAGCAGCCGCGGUAAUACGUAGGGUGCAAGCGUUAAUCGGAAUUUCUGGGCGUAAAGCGUGCGCAGGCGGUUCGGAAAGAAAGAUGUGAAAUCCCAGAGCUCAACUUUGGAACUGCAUUUUUAACUACCGGGCUAGAGUGUGUCAGAGGGAGGUGGAAUUCCGCGUGUAGCAGUGAAAUGCGUAGAUAUGCGGAGGAACACCGAUGGCGAAGGCAGCCUCCUGGGAUAACACUGACGCUCAUGCACGAAAGCGUGGGGAGCAAACAGG